CGGUAUGCCUAAUACAUGCAAGUCGAACGCUGAANCACUCUGCUUGCAGAGUGUGGAUGAGUGGCGAACGGGUGAGUAACACGUGGGGAACCUGCCCAUAAGAGAGGGGAUAACAUCCGGAAACGGGUGCUAAUACCGCAUAGGUGAUCAUAGCGCAUGCUUAGAUCAUUAAAGAUGGCUUCGGCUAUCGCUUAUGGAUGGCCCCGCGGCGUAUUAGCUAGUUGGUGAGGUAAUGGCUCACCAAGGCUGUGAUACGUAGCCGACCUGAGAGGGUGAUCGGCCACACUGGAACUGAGACACGGUCCAGACUCCUACGGGAGGCAGCAGUAGGGAAUCUUCCACAAUGGGCGAAAGCCUGAUGGAGCAAUACCGCGUGAGUGAAGAAGGUCUUCGGAUCGUAAAGCUCUGUUGUUAGAGAAGAACAAGAGGUGUAGUAACUGGCACCUCCUUGACGGUAUCUAACCAGAAAGUCACGGCUAACUACGUGCCAGCAGCCGCGGUAAUACGUAGGUGACAAGCGUUGUCCGGAUUUAUUGGGCGUAAAGCGAGCGCAGGCGGUCUUUUAAGUCUGAUGUGAAAGCCCACGGCUCAACCGUGGAGGGUCAUUGGAAACUGGAAGACUUGAAUGCAGAAGAGGAAAGUGGAAUUCCAUGUGUAGCGGUGAAAUGCGUAGAUAUAUGGAGGAACACCAGUGGCGAAGGCGACUUUCUGGUCUGUAAUUGACGCUGAGGCUCGAAAGCGUGGGGAGCGAACAGGAUUAGAUACCCUGGUAGUCCACGCCGUAAACGAUGAGUGCUAAGUGUUGGAGGGUUUCCGCCCUUCAGUGCUGGAGCUAACGCAUUAAGCACUCCGCCUGGGGAGUACGGCCGCAAGGCUGAAACUCAAAGGAAUUGACGGGGACCCGCACAAGCGGUGGAGCAUGUGGUUUAAUUCGAAGCAACGCGAAGAACCUUACCAGAUCUUGACAUCCUCUGACCACCCAAGAGAUUGGGCUUUCCCUUCGGGGACAGAGUGACAGGUGGUGCAUGGUUGUCGUCAGCUCGUGUCGUGAGAUGUUGGGUUAAGUCCCGUAACGAGCGCAACCCUUAUUGUUAGUUGCCAGCAUUCAGUUGGGCACUCUAGCGAGACUGCCGGUGAUAAACCGGAGGAAGGCGGGGAUGACGUCAAAUCAUCAUGCCCCUUAUGAUCUGGGCUACACACGUGCUACAAUGGAUGGUACAACGAGUCGCGAGACCGCGAGGUUUAGCUAAUCUCCUAAAGCCAUUCUCAGUUCGGAUUGCAGGCUGCAACUCGCCUGCAUGAAGCCGGAAUCGCUAGUAAUCGCGGAUCAGAACGCCGCGGUGAAUACGUUCCCGGGUCUUGUACACACCGCCCGUCACUACCACGAGAGUUUGGAACUACCCGAAGUCGGUCGAGUAACCCUUUUAGGGAGCUAGCCGCCGAAGGUGGGCUGGAUGAUUGGGGUGAAGUCGUAACAAGGUAGCCGG
rnacentral:rRNA from 1 species